GAAACGAAGUAAAAGUCUGUGGUUUUUUUGGUAAAUACGCAUUAUUCAGUUUAAUAUAAUUUGCUUGGGGCCUAACAGGUCAAAUAAUACUUGUAUUGUGGCGACUCGUGCCUGCAUCUUAUUUAGCUGUAUAUUCGCGAAUAACCAUCCAUUAUUGAUGCCUGUAUUGUUCAUUCAUUUCACUCCGAAUCAGUAAAAGUUCCAUAUUACAAGAGCAGCAGUCUGAUUUUCCCUGACCACCCACGAAAAACCCUGAGAGAAAAACCAGUUCCAUUACAACUUGGCGCCCAACGUGGGGCCCAAGGGUUUUUUAUUGCUGUCUUAUGAUGGCCAGCCCAACAUAUAACUUGAGAAGCAAAGGAGGAAUGAAUAAUCAGGAACAAAGUGCCGAAUCGACGGUAAAUGGAAAUUCCCACCCAAAAAAUCAUAGGAAAGAACAAGGUAACGAUUUUCAAAUUUCUAUAUCAACUCAAGGAUAUGUUCAACCUACAACGUCAUUGCCGGAGGUGUCAUAUCUGAUUUUUCACAUCUGGGAGCGACUUCCUUGUCAUUUUAUGCGAAUACCACUUCGGUGCCACAUCCAGGGGGAAACAUUACAAUGAGUACAGUUGCGGAUCCCCAUCCGGGUUUUAAUGAAUGUUCAACUCUGUACCAGAAGCAAUUAAUAGAAAUUAUUAAAGAAGAAGUGAGAAAUACA